CAGAGAUUUCCGUUCAACCCCAGGAAAUUUUCACAACCAAUUUCUCCAACCCGUCGGCGAGAGAAAUUGAUCGGCUUCGCGAGUUAGUUGGCUCAACCCGUCGCAGACAAAGAAGCUCAACAAAAACUCGCGGUUGGUGCGCUCAACCCGUCGAAGACAAAGAAGCUGCACCUCAAUUAAAUUGGUAACUGAAUUAAUCCUUUAUUUGGAGUUGGCGCUCGACCCGUCGGAGACAAAGAAGCUGCCAAGGAUUUACAUUGUAAUGUACCCAUUAUAAAUAUCCCUUUAACGUUAUAAUUAUCAUUAUCAUUAGUAAACAUCUUUCAUUAUCAUUAGCAAACGUCUUAAAUUUAAUUUGUAUCAUCUACAUCCGGCAUGUUCAACUUUGUACCUAAUUACUUUACUAUCUCGAGUUCACUUUUAUUUGUACAUUCUUCCGCUUAUCGCCUUUCAUCCCUCUAUAUAUAAGAAAUCAUUUUUAUGUUAUAGAGCAGUCAGAAUAAGUUAGUUGUUACUGUACGACCUAAUGUCAAUUCCAAAUUCCAAAUUUUAAUAAAUUAUAGUAGUAGUUAGAAGUAAAGUGCUGGAGUUUCUCUUUCCCAUCACCGGACCAUCACAAAAUUGGUGUCAGAAGUGGGAUCGUAAUAGUGCGGUUGGAAAAUUUAUUUCAAAUUCAAUUUGAAAUUUCAAUCAGCAAGUUUGGGAAACUUCGAUUUGGGCUAUCGUCCAUCAUCCAGUGGUGCAACAUCCAGGUCUUCAAGGUUCGUGUAUUCGUGCUACCUGCUGCAUCGUCGCUACCAUAGGUGACAAACGGCGAUAUUCAACCCCAGACGUGAAGGUUUUCGAAAAUCGUGUGGUCCAGUGUAACAUAAUGGGAUUCCAGCAGUUAUCUUCCCUUGUGCAACUCAUUCUGUCUAUCAGCUUAUUAGCAACACUUGAAUACGCACAAAUCACCGAUCAACAACAGUACACCGUAACACCGAUUAACCAUUUCUCUGGUAUAUAUUUUGAACACAUAAAUAAUGUGAAAUUUCAAGAGACACAUUGGCAAAUAGUAUCCUACCUCGAUAUAAGUUCAUUAGAAGAUAAGUUAUCGUUCAUUGAUCAUGCUUAUAAUCAAACUUUGCAUCUUUGCCAAAGUAAUCAACAUUCAUUAAUGGCGUUAUGUCAAUCAUCGUUAAAACUAUUAAAACAUAUAGUACCUUAUUUGCAUAAAUCAGAAGUAGAUCUCAAAAAUCUUAUUAAUAAUAAGAGAACUAAACGCGCUUGGUUAAAUAUCGUUGGCGAUGCUCUAAAAACUGCUUUUGGUACACUUGAUGAAGCAGAUGCUAAAUAUUAUAAUGGAAUUAUAAAUCAGAUAAACAAAAACGAAUAUAAUUUAGGCAAACUUUUAAAACAACAAAUAAUGGUAGUAAAUUCGACAAUAGCGAACUUUAACAAUACCAUCACAGAUUUGAAUAAGAACUCCAAAAUUUUUGAAGAAAAUCUUAUACAAAUAAGUAACUAUUCCCGUAAAAUAAACAAUAGGUAUCUUGCAUUAGAAUUAAAACAAAAUUUAGACGAACACUUUUCUUUAUUAAAUCUAGUUAUUACAACAUUACAAAACGAAAUAACGACCGUUAUGGACACGAUUUUACUUUCUAGAUCAAACAUUUUACACCCUUAUGUCAUAACACCAUUUCAAUUGAUCGAAGAAUUGAGUAAAACAAUUCCACAUUUACCUAGUUCAUCUACGUAUCCUUUACCAGUUAGCCGCGAAAAUGCACACAAAUAUUUAGAAUUACUCACAAUCAAAUGUUUCUUCACCGACAACAGAAUUGGCUAUGUUCUAUCAAUACCUCUUGUAAAUCGAAAUCAAUUUAAUCUUUAUAAAUUAAUUCCAUUACCGGUUUUAGACAACUCAACCUCUUAUUAUAAAUUUAUUUUACCGUCAUUCAAUUAUCUAGCAAUCUCCGAAAACCAUAAUUUGUAUUUAGGUUUAAAUGAGUUAACUAAUUGUCAAAAUUUAGAUGAAUCAACUUUUAUUUGUGUAACUUCGGAACCUUUCUACUAUACAAAUUCUAGACCUAUAUGUGAAACCGAACUUUUAAAAUCUCCUCUCAAUAUCCCAAUAAAUUGCAACAUAAGAAUUAUAACCUCUCGCUUAGAAAUUUGGCAUAAAUUGGAUAAACCGAAUACAUGGAUUUAUAUUUUACCCAAAAGAACUGAUAUCACCUUAAAUUGCUUUCAAAUGUCACACAUAACCCUUUUCUUAGAAAAUACUGGAAUUUUAAAAAUUAACUCAAAUUGUAAAUUAUACACAAGUUCCGCAACUUUCUUAACCGAUAAAACAAUUCGUAAUAGUACACACAAUGCUGUUGUACCUCAGUUAAAAUUAAAUGACGAUUGUUGCAUUAAUUUAACUAAAACAAAAAAUUUUUCUUUAAAUCUAUUACCUAUAACACCUACUAAUCUUCACAUCGACACAUUAAAAGAAGCAAGCCAUAAAUUACAAGAUAUUGCCAAAUCAACAGACGAAUUAUUAUUAAAUAAAGAUUUAACUUUCUUCCAGGAUACUAGUUAUACUAAUCAUAUUUUUCUUUUGAUUUUCGUAAUUUUCAUAAUAUUCUCAUUAUAUUCGCUGUCUAAAUAUUGUAAGAAACGUCACUCAAAUCACUCGAUAUUUAAUCUAUGUAAAAAAUCAUCAUCAGCUCCAUCUUAUAAUGUAAAAUAUGAUAGUUCAGCAGGCUCACAUUCAGAAUCUCAUUCAUCAGCAGUAGAUAUAAGUCCGGUUGCGCCAAAUACAUCGUCAUCACUACCAAAAUUAAGAACCGAUAAAUCGUAUUCUUAAUUUUCUUUUACGGAGGGAGGUGUAAUGUACCCAUUAUAAAUAUCCCUUUAACGUUAUAAUUAUCAUUAUCAUUAGUAAACAUCUUUCAUUAUCAUUAGCAAACGUCUUAAAUUUAAUUUGUAUCAUCUACAUCCGGCAUGUUCAACUUUGUACCUAAUUACUUUACUAUCUCGAGUUCACUUUUAUUUGUACAUUCUUCCGCUUAUCGCCUUUCAUCCCUCUAUAUAUAAGAAAUCAUUUUUAUGUUAUAGAGCAGUCAGAAUAAGUUAGUUGUUACUGUACGACCUAAUGUCAAUUCCAAAUUCCAAAUUUUAAUAAAUUAUAGUAGUAGUUAGAAGUAAAGUGCUGGAGUUUCUCUUUCCCAUCACCGGACCAUCACAACAUUCAGCACCAGGAGUUACUCCAAACAGUCUUUCCGGCCCGUCGGUGGAAAAAAUGAGUUUGGAACGCAAAGCUAGUUGGCUCGACCCGUCGAAGACAAAGAAGCUCAACUACAGCAGAGAGAAGUGUAAAACACCCUCUGAUUUUCUCAUUCCCGGCGGCUACUAUUUAUAGGGGGUUUGUGACGUCACUGAGACUAUGGCCUACGUGACUAACGAGAAUCUGUGUUUAUUUCGAUAAGACUGCAUUAAUUUCUUCGAUACCGUAACCGAAUGUUUGCGAAUGCCCGUGAUUUGUGUAGGCAUUGUGACCAAACCUUAAAUUUUGUCCCUUGAUCGUAAAUCAAUUAAUUGCGACAGUUCCCGAUGGAAUAUUGGGCUCUUUUAAUUGUUUUUCGGUAAUCUGCCCGUGUCUUAUAUUGACGUGACUUGGAAUUAUCUGUUACAAAAAGUUUGUGUGUGUAAUUCCAUUUCAAAUUGGCAAUGUUUGAUAUAUGAAUGUGGAUGGAUUCAUAUACUGAUUUUCCACGCUCGGAUUUAUGUGGUCAAGAAUUUAAAAUGGUCUCCUGUGUGUUUGAUUAAAGUGCUGUUUUCCUUGGGUUGAAAUUUAAAGAAAUUAGCGUUUAUUUUACGGAUAAAACAGUAGACUAAUUGCACAUCUGGCGUUAGUUUUCUCCCCUUGGAAUUCGAGGAAUGUGGAGUGUUUUCAGGCCCUCGCUACCUGCUCUUUUGUUCUAUUUCCGGUGACUGGGUGAUAUCGUCUCUUCGAGGGUCGAAAAGUGCUGCAAAAAGCUUCUCGAACUCGCAUUUAGCCGUUACAAUUUUAUUUAGAUUUUUCUCUUUUCCUCCUUUUUGUUAUAUAUAACAAUCAACUAAUUAAAUUCAUAAGUCAAUUUAUGGUUGUGCUACUGGUUGCCUGUCUAUAGCCCCUGGAUGGUCUCACAAAGAAUAAGUAAUUUGCGUUAUUUAUUUCGAACCACGAUAUAGAGACAGACAGGUAAACCAACUCGCUAUUAUAAUUGAUUCUAACGCUGGAGCAAGUUGAUAGAUGGCAGCACGGUAGACUGGGACUGUCACAAUUUCACAAAUUUUCUUUGUUUUUUAUAAAAAAAUGAUGCGAAAUUAAAAAAUGUUAUCUCAGCACCCAAGUUAGUCAUCUUGUAACAACUUCUGCUUUUUUCGCGCUGAAAUAAUAAUAUUUUCUGAAUAGUUCUAAACUUCGGUUCGAUGCAUUUUCGGCCGCGAAAGACAUCGAAACAUUGCAGUCAGAAUAAAUGCUUUCCAGAAAAAAAACUCCACUACCAUUCGGUGCGGGCAUCCUUCAGGUAUUAAUUGUUCUUCAUAAAUGUCGUAUUUUUAACAACGUGAUGCGUGUAUCUUUUUUCUUGUAAACAUUGUGACAGUCCCAGUCUACGCUGGUGCCAUCUGUCAGAUAAAAUAAAAGCUCCAACUUGCUCCACAUUUUGGUUUGCGCCCGACAAUGGAAAAUAAGGGAAGUUGGUUCACCAGGACUAUCUAUACAUGGUGUUUCGAACUUAAUCUUUCGAUAAAAUGAACUUUCGGUCGUACCGACGGGGGUGCGCAACACUCACUUGUGUUCUGUCAAUUGUCGAAACUAGAAAACCACCAUGUAUAGAUAUUCCUGGUGAACCAACUUCCCUUAUUUUCCAUUGUCGGGCGCAAACCAAAAUGUGGAGCAAGUUGGAGCUUUUAUUUUAUCUGACAGAUGGCACCAGCGUAGACUGGGACUGUCACAUUGUUUACAAGAAAAAAGAUAUACGCAUCACGUUGUUAAAAAUACGACAUUUAUGAAGAACAAUUAAUACCUGAAGGAUGCCCGCACCGAAUGGUAGUGGAGUUUUUUUUCUGGAAAGCAUUUAUUCUGACUUCAAUGUUUCGAUGUCUUUCGCGGCCGAAAAUGCAUCGAACCGAAGUUUAGAACUAUUCAGAAAAUAUUAUUAUUUCAGCGCGAAAAAAGUAGAAGUUGUUACAAGAUGACUAAUUUGGAUGCUGAGAUAACAGUUUUUAAUUUCGCAUCAUUUUUUUAUAAAAAACAAAGAAAAUUUGUGAAAUUGUGACAGUCUACCGUGCGGCCAUCUAUCAACUUGCUCCAGCGUUAGAAUCAAUUAUAAUAGCGAGUUGGUUUACCUGUCUGUCUCUAUAUCGUGUAGAAAACAAAGGAAUCGAGUGUGGUAGCGUGAAGACGCAGAAAAAUUUGUACAAUUGAUCAAUGCAAGACUUUCUAAUUACGUGAUAAUAUGGGUUAUAACGCUUUUCAAUGUCUCGGUCUUGCCACGUGGUUGUGAUGAGAGUGAGGUUAGGCUGGGCUGGCCCUCCGCCCUUCCUAUUGCACAAACCUCGACUCUGUAAAUAGAAUUGAUGUGAUUGGUUGGCUCUCCACCAGGUCUUAGUGAUAUUUGGCCUUCCAGCCGAUUUCUCCGUGGUACUCCGGGAGUAAGAAAAUCAAAAGAUCCAACGGAAAAAAUACAGGAAAUAUAGCCGAUCAUUAGAUUCGACUUGCCCUGAAUCUAGUGGAUUUAACGUUGAAGAGAUUUUUUAGGUGGGCACUGGACCACCCGGACCCACCUUUAGUUCCGCCACUGGUUCACAACAACAUUUUGCUGAGUUAAAUUCAGAGAAGAGAAAGCAAAAAUACACACUGGGGUUCUGUGAAUUUAGAAUACUUCAGGUUCUGCUGUUGAUUUGUCUCAGUUUGCACUGAUUGCAGUUUCUUGCAGUCAAAACAAAAUUCCAUUAAACAGCCGACGUUAUCGUUUUUUGUCACUUCCUUUGUGCGCUGAAAAAGGAAACGUGCAAUGGCUUGGGCAACAAUUAAGGAAACGGAUGCAUUCAUUGAUGCGAUUGAAAAGGGCGAUUUAAGUGGAGUUCGGAGUUACGUAUCGAAAAAGAUUAACUUAAAUUUCAUUUAUGAUAAGAAACAUUAUAAUGAUAUGUAUGUGACACCACUUUUGGUCGCUAUAAAUGCGAAAAAAAUCGAUGUAAUAGAGUAUUUAAUAGAAAACGGUGCCGAGGUUAAUUACAAAACUAGUUACGAAUGUGCACCUUUACACUAUGCAAUUUACAACAAGUGUCCACUAGAUAUUGUAAAGCUGCUUGUAAAUAAGGAUGCAGAUGUAAAUUUACUUGCAAGAUAUAGUUGUUAUUUGGAAAAUAUAAAAUACACACCAAUUUCGGUAUCCAUUAUGGAAAAUUAUUUUGAAGCUGCUAAACUUCUAAUUAGUUCAGGAGCUGACAUGUGUUUAAAGAAUUCUGAUGGAACAACUGCUGUAACCCUUGCUCAAAAAUAUAAUCAAACAGAAAUAUUGGAUUAUUAUUUUACACCUCUUGGAUACGCAAUUUUUACCAAAAAAAUAGAUCAAGCCCGAAAACUUUUAGAAGAUGGUGCUGAUGCCUGUAACAAGGGUGCAAGUAAGAAAACCCCUCUUGUGCUAGCUGUUGAACAGGGUAAUUUAGAAGCAGUCAAACUUUUAUUCGAAUUUGGAGCAUCUUUAACGAUGAAAAAUGCUUUAUUGGAGGCCAUAAAUGUGGGUAAUGUGGAGAUAAUUAAUUUUUUCAUUGAAAAUAAUGUUGCAAUUAAUUGCAAAUAUCGAGACGGAAUCACACCUCUAAUCAGAGCUGUACAGAAGGGAAAUUUCAAAGUGGUCAAGAUUUUAGUCGAAAGUGGUGCCGACGUCAACUUUACAGAUGUUCAAGGUUUUUAUCCACUGUUUGACUCCUUAAAGCUUGACGACUGCGAAAUUGCCAAGUAUUUAAUAAGCAAGGGAGCGAAAAUGGAUUGCAAAUGUCUGAUGCAAGAUCAUUUUCAAUGUGUCAAGAAUCUAAUGAAGAUGGAAGUUGAACUGAAGAGCGUUGUUUUGGGCAAUUUCGACACUUGUACUUUGCUCAAAGCUGUUGAAACUGGAAAUCCACUUUUUGUCAAGUAUCUUUUGGAACAAGGAUUUUCUACAGAGUUGUACGAUAAAAAUGGAAAGAGUCCUCUUGCAGUAGCUGCAAAAAAUCGCAGUUUCACAAUUGUUGCGAUUUUAAUCUAUGCUGGUGCUGAUGUUGAUUCAGCCAAAGAAGAAUUGGAGGAAUUUGCCAAUGAAAAUGACGACUUUUAUCUUUAUUAUCAGGAUUUGAAACCAAGGACUAAACCCAAAUCUCAAGGUCUUGGUGAGGGACUUCACGAAGCUGCAGAUUAAACAGUGGGCUUUAUACGAAGAUAAUAUUACUUUAAACGUUUUCGAGUUUAUUGUUCUUUAAUUUUUUUAAUGAGAAAACCAUUUUCAUUUUGUAUUACCUACACAUUAACAAUAAAUAUUCAUUAAGCAGUCUUAGAAUUAUUAAAACCCACACCUUAAGUCUUUAGGUACAAAUUUUUCAAAUUAAUAAAAAAAAUUCACGACAUUUCUUUAUUCCAAUCGCACUUUUUUCACAUUUGGAAUUUUCCAAAUCAAAUUCGUUUCACUAACGAGAAAUAAUUUCACUUAAUUUCGCAAAAAUUCUGAGCUUAAAAGAAUGCAAUUUUCAAAAAUUCGUCGUGUUGUAACAAAAUCUCGUAAAAAAAGUAUUCUCGUUCAAAAAACUAGCUUAUCACUUAAGAGAGUCAAAAAACCGGCAAAACAAAUUCUUUGCUUAAAAAUAAGAUAAAUCUAACAAAAGCGACCAAAGUAAUUUCACUUCCACCUUAAUUUGUAUUUUUUUAGGCCGGUCUUAGCAAAUUUAUGUGAAAUAUGGUAGUUUUCCACGAAAUUAAAUGAUUUUUCCGUCUCUUUUGGUCAAAAUACGUGAUUUUUUGACUCAAAAACAAAUAUAACGUCACGAAAAAAAAACAAUUUUUAAUUUACACUUAUCUUUUGGUUUGUGAAGUGUAACAAAUUUAUACGAAAUAAAUAAUUUGGUUGUAAGUCUUACUAGAAUGCUCGAAAAAAACUAGUUUUGUUAUUUUAAUAUAUAUAGAUAUUCUCAGUCGUUUUUGAGCAAAGUUUCGAGUGAAAAAAUGAGUUUUUAGUUUAAGAAUGUGCUCAAGCAUUUGAAAAAGGCAAGGAAAUUCUGCAAGUAGGUAAGUGAGUUUUUGAAGUUUGUCUUACUUACCUUAUUUUUUAAACUUUUUCGGAUAGGUAUUUUUUUCCAAGUUUUCUGAAAAUAGAAAUAUACAUUAUUCAUCCAUUUCUAUAUGGUCUAUGAAACAAACAAAUGUUCGUUCUUUACAAAACUACUUUUUCGGUCUGACUGUUGUAAGAGGUAAAUUUAUGUGAUAUUAUGAUUAUUGUUCUUUGACCGCGUUCGUUAUAAAUAGCGUCCGUUGUAGGGAGGUUGUCUUAUAUAUUUUUUUGUUUUUGUUACGUUCCUACAACAAUGUUCGUUGUGCAAAGGUGUCCGCUAUUAAUCCAUUUAUUGUUUUAUCUUAUCUUUGUUAUCCUAUGAUACUCAAGUGCUUAUUUAUUUUCGUUUAAAAACACUUAGUAAAUUUAUAUUAGUGAGUUUCGACAAAAGCAGUAUAGAAGAAAUUUACAAUGCCUAAUAACAUGAUUUCUGAGAAUUUAGAAUACUUCAGGUUCUGCUGUUGAUUUGUCUCAGUUUGCACUGAUUGCAGUUUCUUGCAGUCAAAACAAAAUUCCAUUAAACAGCCGACGUUAUCGUUUUUUGUCACUUCCUUUGUGCGCUGAAAAAGGAAACGUGCAAUGGCUAGGGCAACAAUUAAGGAAACGGAUGCAUUCAUUGAUGCGAUUGAAAAGGGCGAUUUAAGUGGAGUUCGGAGUUACGUAUGGGAAAAGCUUAACUUAAAUUUCACUUAUAUGGGGAAAAAAUAUGAUCAUAUGUAUUUGCCGCCACUUAUGAUUGCUAUAAAUGCGAAAAAAAUCGAUGUAAUAGAGUAUUUAAUAGAAAACGGUGCCGAGGUUAAUUACACAACUAGAGGCGAAUGUGCACCUUUACACUAUGCAAUUUACAUAAAGUGUCCACUAGAUAUUGUAAAGCUGCUUGUAAAUAAGGAUGCAGAUGUAAAUUUACUUGUAAGAUAUGAUUAUUGUUUGGAAAAUAUAAAAUACACACCAAUUUCGGUAUCCAUUAUGAAAAAUUAUUUUGAAGCUACUAAACUUCUAAUUAGUUCAGGAGCUGACAUGUGUUUAAAGAAUUCUGAUGGAACAACUGCUCUAACCCUUGCUCAAAAAUAUAGUCAAACAGAAACAUUGGAUUAUUAUUUUACACCUCUUGGAUACGCAAUUUUUACCAAAAAAAUAGAUCAAGCCCGAAAACUUUUAGAAGAUGGUGCUGAUGUCUGUAACAAGGGUGCAAGUAAGAAAACCCCUCUUGUGCUAGCUGUUGAACAGGGUAAUUUAGAAGCAGUCAAACUUUUAUUCGAAUUUAGAGCAGCUUUAACGAUGCAAAAUGCUUUAUUGGAGGCCAUAAAUGUGGGUAAUGUGGAGAUAAUUAAUUUUUUCAUUGAAAAUAAUGUUGCAAUUAAUUGCAAAUAUCGAGACGGAAUCACACCUCUAAUCAGAGCUGUACAGAAGAGAAAUUUCGAAGUGGUCAAGAUUUUAGUCGAAAGUGGUGCCGACGUCAACUUUACAAAUGCUCAAGGUUUUUAUCCACUGUUUGACGCCUUGAAGCUUGACGACUGCGAAAUUGCCAAGUAUUUAAUAAGCAAGGGAGCGAAAAUGGAUUGCAAAUGUCUGAUGCAAGAUCAUUUUCAAUGUCUCAAGAAUCUAAUGAAGAUGGAAGUUGAACUGAAGAGCGUUGUUUUGGGCAAUUUCGACACUUGUACUUUGCUCAAAGCUGUUGAAACUGGAAAUCCACUUUUUGUCAAGUAUCUUUUGGAACAAGGAUUUUCUACAAAGUUGUAUGAUAAAAAUGGAAAGAGUCCUCUUGCAGUAGCUGCAAAAAAUCGCAGUUUCUCAAUUGUUGCGAUUUUAAUCGAUGCUGGUGCUGAUGUUGAUUCAGCCAAAGAAGAAUUGGAGGAAUUUGCCAAUGAAAAUGACGACUUUUAUUUUUAUUAUCAGGAUUUGAAACCAAGGACUAAACCCAAAUCUCAAGGUCUUGGUGAGGGACUUCACGAAGCUGCAGAUUAAACAGUGGGCUUUAUACGAAGACAAUAUUACUUUAAACGUUUUCGAGUUUUUUGUUCUUUAAUUUUUUUAAUUAGAAAACCAUAUUCAUUUUGUAUUACCUACACAUUAACAAUAAAUAUUCAUUAAGCAGU